GAUGAAGGUGCGAGCGGAAAGGCGCUAAGGGCUGGAGAGCCAGCCUCCUAGGGAAGGAUCAGAGGCUUGCGAUUGACUGGCCCCCUUGGAGAAGAGAAAGAUAAGGAGCUUUCUGGGGCACCUGCUCCAAGGAAAGGACAUUGUUCUUUUAAAACAUGCGUUUGCGUUUGAAGCAUGCGUUUCAAACAAGAAGGAGAAAACGUGAACUUUAGCAGGGGACCUGCAAGUUAGGUCUACCAAGUUAGACUCACAAGCACUUCCCAAGGUUCAGGAAACUGAGAGCUACAAGGUGGAGAUGAGACGACCUCCUGGCCCCGGGCCUGACAUGGCCAAGCCCCACGUCCGGGUGAGUGGUCCCAGUGAAAAGCAACGAUCGUUGGGGUGGCUUGGAAAGAGCUUCUCCAAAACCAGAUACCUGCUUCGAAGGCUCCUUCCAGAAACACUCAGGAACCAAGGCCCGGGCAGGAAGUGCCUCGCGCUCCUCUUCAUCCCUGUGGACGAGGUCUUUAAAGACCCCCGGAACCUUCCUGCCGGGAUCAGGAGGGUUUGCACCAGAUUGUAGGUACUAUUCUGAGCCAGGUCCUUGGAGCUGUUUGGCAAGUGCUGAAGCCCCCACCGGGUGGAAGAAGUCAAGUGCAUGCUGACCACAGGCUCAUAGACCCCAGACUGGUUGGAAUCUGAAGGUUGAUGACGCUGACACCCAAUGACCUCUUCACCCACCAAUCAGGAAAAUGCGCAUGAGCUGACCACGCCCGGCUCUUCAAACACUAGAAGACUCCUCCCUCCCCCCUCCAAGGGGUGGGGGGCACAUUCCUCUAGGCACUAGCCUGCUGUUCCCCUCUUUGCCUGGCAGUUAAAGCUACUUUUUGUGUUUCCCCCA